CACCUCAGUGAACAAAAUGGACUAGAAUCUGUCCAGUCUCUCUUUUAGGAACAGGAAGAGGGUUUUUUGAGCUGGUCGACUGGAAUGUGAAAGGCCACAGAGACAGUGUAUAGCCAGACAACUGGAUGUUUCAGCUGAGAUCAUGACUGUCUGCCUGAACUCUCCCAGGUCCAUGCUGAUGACAGCACCAAAAACCCUGGGAAAUAUCACACAAGCUCCAGUCAAUGGUUGACUUGAUCUGGGCUAACACACCCAAGUGGGAGGAACUGGACAAAGAGAGACAACACAGCCAGAGCGAGUCCAAACCCACAAGCCCUUGCAGCAGUGACACCGCAGAAACAAGAAGUUGUUCUUUGGGUGACACACCUUGCUGUGCAGGUGACCCUCCUAAACUAGCAAGCAAACUCCUGCUACCUUUCCAGGCAAUCUUUCCUCUACCUCUUAGCUUCUUCACUCUUCACCACAGCAUGAAAAAUACCAAUCUUUCCUCUACCUCUUAGCUUCUUCACUCUUCACCGCAGCAU